AUUGAACGCUGGCGGCAGGCCUAACACAUGCAAGUCGAACGAGUGGCGGACGGGUGAGUAAUGUCUGGGAAACUGCCCGAUGGAGGGGGAUAACUACUGGAAACGGUAGCUAAUACCGCAUACCAUCGGAUGUGCCCAGAUGGGAUUAGCUAGUAGGUGGGGUAACGGGUCACCUCUGCGACGAUCCCUAGCUGGUCUGAGGGGAUGACCAGCCACACUGGAACUGAGACACGGUCCAGACUCAUACGGGAGGCAGCAGUGGGGAAUAUUGCACAAUGGGCGCAAGCCUGAUGCAGCCAUGCCGCGGGUAUGAAGAAGGCCUUCGGGUUGUAAAGUACUUUCAGCGAGGAGGCGUUACUCGCAGAAGAAGCACCGGCUAACUCCGUGCCAGCAGCCGCGGUAAUAC
rnacentral:rRNA from 1 species